GAUGAACGCUAGCGGCAGGCUUAACACAUGCAAGUCGAGGGGUAACAGGGAGAAGCUUGCUUUUCCGCUGACGACCGGCGCACGGGUGCGUAACGCGUAUAGAACCUACCUUUUACAGAGGAAUAGCCCAGAGAAAUUUGGAUUAAUGCCUCAUAGUAUUAUAGAAUGGCAUCAUUUUAUAAUUAAACAUUUAUGGGUAAAAGAUGGCUAUGCGUUCUAUUAGCUAGUUGGUAAGGUAACGGCUUACCAAGGCUACGAUAGAUAGGGGUCCUGAGAGGGAGAUCCCCCACACUGGUACUGAGACACGGACCAGACUCCUACGGGAGGCAGCAGUGAGGAAUAUUGGACAAUGGAGGCAACUCUGAUCCAGCCAUGCCGCGUGCAGGAAGACGGCCCUAUGGGUUGUAAACUGCUUUUAUAUAGGAAGAAACCUUUCCACGUGUGGAAAGCUGACGGUACUAUAAGAAUAAGCACCGGCUAACUCCGUGCCAGCAGCCGCGGUAAUACGGAGGGUGCAAGCGUUAUCCGGAAUCAUUGGGUUUAAAGGGUCCGUAGGCGGACUAAUAAGUCAGGGGUGAAAUCCAACAGCUUAACUGUUGAACUGCCUUUGAUACUGUUAGUCUUGAAUUAUAUGGAAGUAGAUAGAAUGUGUAGUGUAGC
rnacentral:rRNA from 1 species